AGCACCGAGCUGUCUGGUUUUCUGUGUCUAGAACUUCCUAAUGAAAGAGAGAUAAGGAAACACAAACUGAAAUCAAGGGGGAGAUCAAGGUUGAUUAAAGAGGAAGAAAUGAAGACAUAUCAAGAGGAUACCACAGUAAUUCCAGGGAUUGAGGAAGCCAGAGUAUGUAAUGAAGAGAUGUUAUGCACCCUUAAUGACCUGGGAAUGAAGGUAUCACUAAACAGCCACUCAGGAAAGACGAGACAUUCUCAAAGUGUGGUCCUGGACCAGAGGCAUCACCAUCACCAGAAAACUUUCUAGAAAUGCAAGUUCGCAGACCCCGACCCACACCUGCUGAAUCAGAAAUGUGGGGGUGGGGCCCAGCAAGGUUUUAGCAAGCCUUCCGGGAGAUUCGGAUGGGCAUUCAAGCUUGAGAAACAUGACUACAGACCAGUGCUUCCCAGCACUGACUACGUACGAGUCACCUGGGAGCGUGUUAAGCAGCACACUCUGAUUCAGCAGGAGAGGCCAAGAUGCUGCAGUUCUCACCAACGCCCAGGUGAGGCUGAUGCUGCUGUUUCUCAGGCCACACGUUGAAUCACUUUUGAAGGAAGGUUGAGUGAGCAUUCAAUGACUGCAGGGCUUCGUAAGGAAAUAGUCAAGGAAAACACAAAUAGCAGCAUCAGUUUAUCUCCAUCGAUAUUUUAAAGGAUCGGAGCAAGAAAAAUGCUGCUUUUAGUGGUUUGUUGCCUGGUGUUCCGCGGAUGUUUCACCAACAGCAAUGCCUUUGCAUAUCGAAAACAUGCCUCCUGAAAGCUCCAAGCAUGUCCUGUUAAGCACUCCUCUUUGCAGACGCAGAGGCUGACGCUGGCCCACAGAGCUAUUUGCCUUCCAAGGUCACAGAGACCUUGGACAGAUCGGGCUGGCAAAGGUCUCCUGACUACCCGGCUGGAGCUCUUUCUGCAGUCCCCUUAAGGCUGUCCCAGUCAAGCCACAGUAGGAAGUAGUGACAGAGCGCAUGAGAUUGACAUUGCUGUAGCUCAGUCGUAAAAAACAGACCAGCUCAGUCUCCAGGCUCACUGGUGAAUAAUAGGAAUCUUUAUCAUCCUUUCCGUCAGAAAGCAUUUAUUUAAAACCCCUUGGCUAACUCACAGGGUGAGCUGGCCUGUCACACACCAUCACAUGGUGUGGAAACUGGCAAUUAAAUUUAGCAACCCACCUCGGCAAACUCAGACUGAGAUGUUUACUGGCCAGCCCAGCCCAGGGGGAGCUGGGGGCUUUCAUUCCUAAAUCCGGAGGUUUCCAGAGAAAGUGAAACACGGCUUGGGUGGGUUAUGCUGAAUUAUGAGCACCUGUCCCCAUCAAUAACUUGGCGUCCUCAAAAUGCUACUGCAGGACUCUGAGAUCCAAGAAUGCCUGUCCUGUGCACAGCUGAGAGACGGCUAUUGGCCUCACUUGCAGGGCUGCCGCUCAGAGACGGGGAGAUGCUUGCUCCAAGGACAGCUUGUUUGUUUACUAACUCUGGGGACAGAGAGAGACAACAUUAAUCAAAGAAUAAAUGUCAUUUCCCCUCCACACGCACCCUGAGAAGAGCGCUGCAACUGUGGCCUGUGGUUUAUCUGUAACCAUGUAGGUGAGUGACGUCAGUGCAUUUCCACGAUGGCAGACAGCAAGCUAACGACACUGCCUAGGGAUCGCAGAAGAGCUGAAAAUAAUGUUUUAUAUUUAAAAAGAAUGGCCUGCAGACAACCUGGACAGAUAGAAGGCAUCCAUCUGCAUUUAAAGAAGCUCACAGACACGGCUGAUUGAUUCUGCGACCUUGCUUUGUUACUCAUCUCUGAGUUUAGCGGCUUCACUGCCAGGGACCUUGUCCAGAGUUUCUGGGGCCUCCAACAGCCUGUGGUCUCCUGGUCACGCAGACCCUGCUGGUGGCCUCAGUGACUGGAUCUUGCUGAUGUUUGAACUGCCUUUAGCUGUCUGUGAAGGGCAUGCUGGUGAGGCCACGGAGCAGGAAACCAUGACAAACAACAGAACUACAGUCUGGUUAAAAAAGAAAAUAUACAUAUGCACAUAUGUAUAUUCCCCUACCCCAGGGGUUGAGGCUUUUUUGGCAUACAUUUACAUAUAUUUUGGCACAAAUUUGCAUACUAAGUUCCUAAGUCUCUACUUCCAAAUAGAGUUACAUGAGAACCUCUCAUUUAUGGCAUUAACAUUCGUAUUGUUCCCCUUAGACCCAUGUCACUGGCUCUUACUAAUAUACUGAAUUUCACCAGUUUGUCCUCCAUUUCCUAGAAUUUGUUCUAAUUUUUAGGAAAUGCUUACUAAAUAUCACUACUGUGUGUUGUGAAAUCCAGCCCUGAAGGACAUCAAAAGGUCUCUUGUUAGCUGGUAGCUAUUGUUAGGUAUUGUCUGUAGAGACAUCGGGUCUCCUGGAAACAUACCAUAAGCUGUCCAAAAGUAUUAAUUAUUAACUUGGGCCUUUAAUUGUAUUUAUAUGAAUUAUAAUAUUAUGUUUGUAUGUAGAGAAAAGAGAUUAUAUCUAAGCAUUAUAACUGUGUAUAAAAAGGAUUUUACCAAGAGUACUGGAAGGUGCAUUAUAGUUACUCUCAAAUGUAAUAUUAGGGAUUUCUAUUUAC